UCCUACAGGGGGCAGCAGUGGGGAAUAUUGCACAAUGGGGGGAACCCUGAUGCAGCGACGCCGCGUGAGUGAAGAAGUAUUUCGGUAUGUAAAGCUCUAUCAGCAGGGAAGAAAAUGACGGUACCUGACUAAGAAGCCCCGGCUAACUACGUGCCAGCAGCCGCGGUAAUACGUAGGGGGCAAGCGUUGUUCGGAAUGACUGGGCGUAAAGGGUGUGUAGGCGGUGUAGCAAGUUAGAAGUGAAAUACCUAGAGCUUAACUCAGGUGCUGCUUCUAAAACUGCUAUACUUGAGUGCAGUAGAGGA
rnacentral:rRNA from 1 species